CAGAGCGUAGCCAAAACAGUAAAGCAUUUCCCUUACACUGAAAAGACACCCGUGCAAUUCGGGUCGCCCUGA
rnacentral:tRNA from 1 species